CCACUACCCACGCCUUUUUACCCACGACCCACGCCUUUUUACCCACGACCCACGCCUUUUUACCCACGACCCACGCCUUUUUACCCACGACCCACGCCUUUUUACCCACGCCUUUUUACCCACGACAUUUUACCCACGACCCACGACAUUCUACCCACGACCCACGACUGUUAGCUAGUCCCGUUUUUUUCAAACUAGUAAAUAUUUUCAAAGCCCCCCUUCUUUUGUCUCUCUGUAUUUUUUUAAAGCCCCCCUUUCAGGUUUU